AGAGUUUGAUCAUGGCUCAGAACGAACGCUGGCGGCAGGCUUAACACAUGCAAGUCGAACGAUGUAGCAAUACAUAGUGGCGCACGGGUGAGUAACGCGUGGGAAUAUACCUCAUAGUGGGGAAUAACUUUGGGAAACUAAAGCUAAUACCGCAUACGCCCGAGAGGGGAAAGAUUUAUCGCUAUAAGAUUAGCCCGCGUGAGAUUAGGUAGUUGGUGGGGUAAUGGCCUACCAAGCCUACGAUCUCUAGCUGGUCUGAGAGGAUGAUCAGCCACACUGGAACUGAGACACGGUCCAGACUCCUACGGGAGGCAGCAGUGGGGAAUAUUGGGCAAUGGAGGAAACUCUGACCCAGCCAUGCCGCGUGAAUGAUGAAGGCCUUAGGGUUGUAAAGUUCUUUCGCCGAUGAAGAUAAUGACGGUAGUCGGAGAAGAAGCCCCGGCUAACUUCGUGCCAGCAGCCGCGGUAAUACGAAGGGGGCUAGCGUUGUUCGGAAUUACUGGGCGUAAAGCGAGCGUAGGUUGCUCGAUAAGUCAGUGGUGAAAGCCCAGAGCUCAACUCUGGGACUGCCAUUGAAACUGUCGAGCUGGAAUCUCAGAGGGGGUAGCGGAAUUCCAAAUGUAGGGGUGAAAUCCGUAGAUAUUUGGAGGAACACCGGUGGCGAAGGCGGCUACCUGGAUGAGUAUUGACACUGAGGCUCGAAAGCGUGGGGAUCAAACAGGAUUAGAUACCCUGGUAGUCC
rnacentral:rRNA from 1 species